rnacentral:misc_RNA from 1 species
AAUCACAUCCAAAUUUGGUUUGUUUAUUGUCAAAUCUAUUUUUGGGAUUUGGGCUCUGCAGAAUUAAUUUUAAUUCAGCUGGCCUUAAACGAUUUAGCCAUAUCGUAAAUGUUCUGGGUGACAAGGCGUAAUAGUUGGAACUUUCUGGUCCAUCCCUUUCGCUGAAGCCUAUCUUUUAUGAAAUUUUGGCUCAAUAAUAUGGAAAGGUGAUAUUAUAUAUCAUUA